CGGUGGAUUAUGUGGAUUAAUUCGAUGCAACGCGAAAAACCUUACCUACCCUUGACAUGUCCUGAAGCCUGGAGAGAUCCGGGUGUGCCCGAAAGGGAACGGGAACACAGGUGCUGCAUGGCUGUCGUCAGCUCGUGUCGUGAGAUGUUGGGUUAAGUCCCGCAACGAGCGCAACCCUUGUCAUUAGUUGCUACAUUUGGUUGGGCACUCUAAUGAGACUGCCGGUGACAAACCGGAGGAAGGUGGGGAUGACGUCAAGUCCUCAUGGCCCUUAUGGGUAGGGCUUCACACGUAAUACAAUGGCGCGUACAGAGGGUUGCCAAGCCGCGAGGUGGAGCCAAUCCCAGAAAGCGCGUCGUAGUCCGGAUUGCAGUCUGCAACUCGACUGCAUGAAGUCGGAAUCGCUAGUAAUCGCGGAUCAGCAUGUCGCGGUGAAUACGUUCCCGGGUCUU
rnacentral:rRNA from 1 species